rnacentral:rRNA from 1 species
UCAUAGCGACUAUCGUGGCAUAUCAAUAAGCGGAGGAAAAGAAACUAACAAGGAUUCCCCUAGUAACGGCGAGUGAAGCGGGAAGAGCUCAAAUUUGAAAUCUUCAAGGUUUUACCUUGACGAAUUGUAGUUUAAAGAAGUGUUUUCUGUUGAAGUUUUGGUAAAAGUUCUUUGGAAUAGGACAUCAUAGAGGGUGAGAAUCCCGUAUUUGACCAUUAUUUUCAGCUGUGUGAUACACUUUCAAAGAGUCGGAUUGUUUGGGAAUGCAGUCCAAAAUGGGUGGUAAAUUUCAUCUAAAGCUAAAUAUUGGCGAGAGACCGAUAGCGAACAAGUACCGUGAGGGAAAGAUGAAAAGAACUUUGAAAAGAGAGUUAAACAGUACGUGAAAUUGUCAAAAGGGAAGCGUUUGACACCAGUGUUGUUUUCUCGAAAAUCGAUUAAAAAAGGCCGGAUUUUGUGUUGUAUUGACCUUAAAAGCUUUCUUCACUCUUUUCUUGUCUUUUUUAAUGCACUUUUCGUUUAACAAGUCGACAUCAGUUUCUUUUGUUGUAAAAGGGUAUGAGGAAGGUGGCUUUCUUUUCGGAGAAAGUGUUUAUAGCCUUGUGCUUCUGCAAUCGGAGAGAUUGAGGUCUGCAGCGUAGAUCCUUCGGGGUUAGAUACAGUUUGUGCUAAGCUAUAGUUCUUUAUAGACAACUUGUUGACUAUAGUCUAGUCCUGUAGCUUACUCGCUGAUGCUAUUUUACCUACGCUUAGGAUGUUGAUAGUCACAGCGUGUAC